UUAAUGUUUAAGUGAAAAAGCUUAAAUUUUCUUGGAGGACGAUAAGACCCUAUAGAUCUUUACACCUAUCUUCUCUCAAUGCGGCAGUCAUUUAGAGGGAGUUAAUGGUGUUUCGUUGGGGCGACGGGGGGAGCAGAGCAAACUCCCUCUUCUCUAGACAGCAAUUUCUGACGUAUGAUCCAGGCAUGAAUUAAGAGCAAGUUACCUUAGGGAUAACAGCGUAAUUCUUCUUGAGAGGCCAAAUCGACAGAAGAGUUUGCGACCUCGAUGUUGGUUCAGGGAACCUUGCUGGCGCAGCAGUAAGUAAAGGCAGUCUGUUCGACUAUUAAUUCCCU
rnacentral:rRNA from 1 species